rnacentral:rRNA from 1 species
GACGAACGCUGGCGGCGUGCUUAACACAUGCAAGUCGAACGGAAAGGCCCUGCUUUUGUGGGGUGCUCGAGUGGCGAACGGGUGAGUAACACGUGAGUAACCUGCCCUUGACUUUGGGAUAACUUCAGGAAACUGGGGCUAAUACCGGAUAGGAGCUCCUGCUGCAUGGUGGGGGUUGGAAAGUUUCGGCGGUUGGGGAUGGACUCGCGGCUUAUCAGCUUGUUGGUGAGGUAGUGGCUUACGAAGGCUUUGACGGGUAGCCGGCCUGAGAGGGGGACCGGCGACAUGGGGACUAAGAGACGGCCCAGACUCCUACGGGAGGCAGCAGUGGGGAAUAUUGCACAAUGGGCGGAAGCCUGAUGCGGCAACGCCGCGUGCGUGAUGACGGCCUUCGGGUUGUAAACCGCUUUCGCCGUUGACGAAGCGUGAGUGACGGUAAUGGGUAAAGAAGCACCGGCUAACUACGUG